AACGUAGGUGGCGAGCGUUAUCCGGAUUUACUGGGCGUAAAGCGUGUGCAGGCGGGGUGACAAGUGGUGUAUGAAAUAUCCCGGCUUAACCGGGAAGGGUUAUGCCAGACUGUCAUUCUAGAGUGCGAGAGAGGGGCGUGGAAUUCCGGGUGUAGUGGUGAAAUGCGUAGAUAUCGGGAGGAAUACCUAUGGCGAAAGCAGGUAUCUGGGCCAUCACUGACGCUGAGCUGCGAAAGCUAGGGGAGCAAACAGG
rnacentral:rRNA from 1 species